rnacentral:misc_RNA from 1 species
CUGCCGACCAGCCGUCCAGCCCAGAGGCGUCGAGGCCGAUGGGCAGCAAGACGACGCUGCCCCUAUUAAUAAAGCCGCCAUGCGUGUGCCCGGCACUGCACAGCAUCCAUCGUCCAUCGACCCACCCAACCACCUCCUCCGCCCCGCGCUUCGCCUGGGUACCGGCGUCCGCCGCGCCCCGUCCCGUCCAGGAACAGGAAGAGCAGUAACCCAUCCACCCAUCCAUCGGGGAUCACCAGGGGAGCAAGAUGUCGACUGCCACCGCCGCAAGAUUGCCCGCUCCCAGAUCCGGGGCAAGCUAUCACUAUCAGACCGCGGCUCCGGCGGCCAACACCCUCUCCUUCGCCGGCCACGCGAGGCAGGCGGCCCGCGCGUCCGGGCCACGGCUGUCCAGCAGGUUCGUGGCGGCCGCGGCGGCCGUGCUGCACAAGGUGAAGCUGGUCGGCCCGGACGGGACGGAGCACGAGUUCGAGGCCCCCGACGACACCUACAUCCUCGAGGCGGCCGAGACCGCCGGGGUGGAGCUGCCCUUCUCCUGCCGCGCCGGGUCCUGCUCCACCUGCGCCGGGAGGAUGUCGGCCGGCGAGGUCGACCAGUCGGAGGGGUCCUUCCUCGACGACGGCCAGAUGGCCGAGGGGUACCUCCUCACCUGCAUCUCCUACCCCAAGGCAGACUGCGUCAUCCACACCCACAAGGAGGAGGACCUGUACUAGAGAUUGGGUUGCUUUAUGCAUAUGCAGUGGCUGCUCCAAAGGUGGUGGUGCGUUCGUUGCUGUUCCGUGCCACCAGCGGAAGGGGGGUUUCGUUGUUGAGAUGGGCUAGUUCUUGUCAUCAAUUUCGGUCGUUCGAUGAGAUCAUGGCAUAUGAGUUGUGGCAAUAAUGCUGGCAAUAUGGUUUUGCAAUUCAAACUGCAAAUGUGACCAGCAAUGUCAAAAACUGCACACUGUGUCUGUGUGCGAACUUGUGAAAUUGGCAUUGAGUUCAAUUGGCUAGUUGGCUCGAGAUUUCAGUUUUCAUCUCCAUUUAGAGGUCAUUUGGGCCUAAGUUGGUGCUUAGUGUGGCCGGAUAGAAGCCCACUAAGGCCUUGUUCGUUUGUGUCGGAUUGGUGGGUCGGAACGAUUUCUAGCCGGAUUGUUUCUCUAAUUUAUAUAAACUUUGAUUAGGG